UACAGAGGUGCCAAGCGUUGUUCGGAUUUACUGGGCGUAAAGGGUGCGUAGGCGGUUGUGCAAGUCGGAUGUGAAAUCCCGGGGCUUAACUCCGGAACGGCAUUCGAAACUGCACGGCUCGAGAUCUGGAGAGGUGACUGGAAUUCUCGGUGUAGCAGUGAAAUGCGUAGAUAUCGAGAGGAACACCAGAGGCGAAGGCGGGUCACUGGACAGAAUCUGACGCUGAGGCACGAAAGCCAGGGGAG
rnacentral:rRNA from 1 species